rnacentral:rRNA from 1 species
ACUCAAAGGAAUUGACGGGGACCCGCACAAGCGGUGGAUGAUGUGGUUUAAUUCGAUGCAACGCGAAAAACCUUACCCACCUUUGACAUGGUCGGAAUUUGCCAGAGAUGGCUUAGUGCUCGAAAGAGAACCGAUACACAGGUGCUGCAUGGCUGUCGUCAGCUCGUGUCGUGAGAUGUUGGGUUAAGUCCCGCAACGAGCGCAACCCUUACCAUUAGUUGCUACGCAAGGGCACUCUAAUGGGACUGCCGGUGACAAACCGGAGGAAGGUGGGGAUGACGUCAAGUCCUCAUGGCCCUUAUAGGUGGGGCUACACACGUCAUACAAUGGCUGGUACAAACGGUUGCCAACCCGCGAGGGGGAGCUAAUCCGAGAAAACCAGUCGUAGUCCGGAUCGUAGUCUGCAACUCGACUGCGUGAAGUCGGAAUCGCUAGUAAUCGUGGAUCAGAAUGUCACGGUGAAUACGUUCCCGGGUCUUGUACACACCGCCCGU